GAUGAACGCUGGCGGCGUGCCUAAUACAUGCAAGUCGAGCGAACGGACGAGAAGCUUGCUUCUCUGAUGUUAGCGGCGGACGGGUGAGUAACACGUGGAUAACCUACCUAUAAGACUGGGAUAACUUCGGGAAACCGGAGCUAAUACCGGAUAAUAUUUUGAACCGCAUGGUUCAAAAGUGAAAGACGGUCUUGCUGUCACUUAUAGAUGGAUCCGCGCUGCAUUAGCUAGUUGGUAAGGUAACGGCUUACCAAGGCAACGAUGCAUAGCCGACCUGAGAGGGUGAUCGGCCACACUGGAACUGAGACACGGUCCAGACUCCUACGGGAGGCAGCAGUAGGGAAUCUUCCGCAAUGGGCGAAAGCCUGACGGAGCAACGCCGCGUGAGUGAUGAAGGUCUUCGGAUCGUAAAACUCUGUUAUUAGGGAAGAACAUAUGUGUAAGUAACUGUGCACAUCUUGACGGUACCUAAUCAGAAAGCCACGGCUAACUACGUGCCAGCAGCCGCGGUAAUACGUAGGUGGCAAGCGUUAUCCGGAAUAUUGGGCGUAAAGCGCGCGUAGGCGGUUUUUUAGUCUGAUGUGAAAGCCCACGGCUCAACCGUGGAGGGUCAUUGGAAACUGGAAAACUUGAGUGCAGAAGAGGAAAGUGGAAUUCCAUGUGUAGCGGUGAAAUGCGCAGAGAUAUGGAGGAACACCAGUGGCGAAGGCGACUUUCUGGUCUGUAACUGACGCUGAUGUGCGAAAGCGUGGGGAUCAAACAGGAUUAGAUACCCUGGUAGUCCACGCCGUAAACGAUGAGUGCUAAGUGUUAGGGGGUUUCCGCCCCUUAGUGCUGCAGCUAACGCAUUAAGCACUCCGCCUGGGGAGUACGACCGCAAGGUUGAAACUCAAAGGAAUUGACGGGGACCCGCACAAGCGGUGGAGCAUGUGGUUUAAUUCGAAGCAACGCGAAGAACCUUACCAAAUCUUGACAUCCUUUGACAACUCUAGAGAUAGAGCCUUCCCCUUCGGGGGACAAAGUGACAGGUGGUGCAUGGUUGUCGUCAGCUCGUGUCGUGAGAUGUUGGGUUAAGUCCCGCAACGAGCGCAACCCUUAAGCUUAGUUGCCAUCAUUAAGUUGGGCACUCUAAGUUGACUGCCGGUGACAAACCGGAGGAAGGUGGGGAUGACGUCAAAUCAUCAUGCCCCUUAUGAUUUGGGCUACACACGUGCUACAAUGGACAAUACAAAGGGCAGCGAAACCGCGAGGUCAAGCAAAUCCCAUAAAGUUGUUCUCAGUUCGGAUUGUAGUCUGCAACUCGACUACAUGAAGCUGGAAUCGCUAGUAGUCGUAGAUCAGCAUGCUACGGUGAAUACGUUCCCGGGUCU
rnacentral:rRNA from 1 species